rnacentral:rRNA from 1 species
UACGAAGGGGGCUAGCGUUGUUCGGAAUUACUGGGCGUAAAGCGCACGUAGGCGGCUUCUUAAGUCGGUGGUGAAAUCCUGGAGCUCACCUCCAGAACUGCCUUCGAUACUGGGAAGCUCGAGUCCGGGAGAGGUGAGUGGAAUUGCGAGUGUAGAGGUGAAAUGCGUAGAUAGGCGGAGGAACACCAGUGGCGAAGGCGGCUCACUGGCCCGGUACUGACGCUGAGGUGCGAAAGCGUGGGGAGCAAACAGG